rnacentral:lncRNA from 1 species
AAUUGUUAGGUUUCAGUCAGCCAAAUUAUAGUGGAAAGGUCACUACUGGUUGGCCUUGCUCUCUUUUCUAAGUACAUGAAUAACAAAUCAAAGAAUAUCUAUGGCCAACUUUUGGAUAAGAGCUUUGCUUGCUUGUGAUACUUGACAAAUAUAACGCUAAUGUCAAGAUUACAGAGGCUCCACCCAAUCACCAGAUAUUUUUUUGUUCCGAAAAGUGGCAGGUCGAUGGCUUGAUUUCCGGCAGGGGGUGUGUUCAAAGGUCUUACAAAAUUACCGAAAAGGAAGUCCUAAGUUAUGCGGUAUUGGCAAGGUCAUCAAAGCAAACCUCUUGAGUCUUAAGAUUCAGAAGAAUAUGCAGACGUCAGAAGAGCUGUCACCAUUGCACCACAAAGACACGGGAGGAACAUUUGUCUAUUCUAGUUGGGCACAGCUUUCCGAAGAAAAUGGCACAGGAAUCCGUCAAGUUGAUAUUCUUUGAACUUGAAAACUACGGUGGAAAGUGCGUGGUAUGGCCUUAGCAAUUUAAAUGCUUUUUUUUUCGUUAUCAGCUGUUUAAAUUUUAACCUUUAGAAAAUGAUCCUUGUGGUAAUAUUUA